GGAAACAUAGAUUAAGUUAUNUGGGAGAGCGCCUGCUUUGCACGCAGGAGGUCAGCGGUUCGAUCCCGCUAGUCUCCACCA
rnacentral:tRNA from 1 species